AUGGCUGAUUCCAACCCCAUUCUGGUUGGCGCUGAGCCCAGCACAGUGCCCCUAGCGGCCACCAGAGGGCGCACAGAGACUCCCAGGCGGGACAAGGGGUCGGUUUGUGGGAGGAAGAGGGAGCUGGAGCUCAGCCUCUUGCGCGCAAGCACCAGGCACAACAGCACAACGGACACCCAGAAGCAUGCUGAUGAGAGGGAAGCGGGCUGCAGGAAAAGCUACCCAACUAUAAAUUCGGCCUCCAGUGGAGGAAAGGGGAUGAGGAAACUGAGACUCGGAGCCAUUGACUGCUUGUCCAGAGCAAUCAGGGGAGGCAAGAUCUGAACACCUGCUGCCAGGAGGGUCCUGUGAGCUUCUCCUCACCUGGCCAGGGGGAUCCAGGCCUGGACACUACCUCGGCUAAGGCUGCUUCCUGAAAAGACAUCAAGGACUUGUAAUGAGAGUGCGUCUACCGAAUCAGAACUCGGCGAGCCCCUCCUUAUAAGCCUGGUCAGACUCAGGCCCCACCCUCAUCGCCUCCCUUUGAGGGGGAGGGACGCUAGAGAAUAAGCCAGCCCACGACUUCAGGCAGUGAUCAGUGCUCUGAAAAGCAUGAUGCCAGAUAGAGUAGGGGCGACUAGAGUUGAGGAUGCCAGUCCAGCUAGCGUGGUCUGGGAAGGCCUCUCGGAGGGGGUGAUAUAUGCAGAGCCAGGAAGAAGCUGGCCCUGGGGACCACGAGCAUAAAGAUGCAGAAAGACAAUGAGUGUGACAUGGUGCCAAACCCACCCACCCCCAUCGCAGAUGCUGGCACAGAGAGAAACACGUGACACAGAGAUGAGGCCUGAGUGGGAAAGCAUGUGGGGCCGUGUCCUCAGGGGGCCUGAACCCUGGCACAGAGCUCCGUGGAUGCCUCCAGGGGUUCCCCACCCCCAAGCAAGGCUCUGGGUCUUCCUCAUUUCCUUGCAUCUUCAACACCUUUCUGCACACCGCCCAGCCUGGC
rnacentral:lncRNA from 1 species